rnacentral:rRNA from 1 species
UGUUACAAUGGCAGGUACAGAGGGAUGCUACCGGGCGACCGGAUGCGGAUCUCGAAAGCCUGUCCCAGUUCGGACUGGAGUCUGCAACCCGACUCCACGAAGUUGGAUUCGCUAGUAAUCGCGCAUCAGCCAUGGCGCGGUGAAUACGUUCCCGGGCCUUGUACACACCGCCCGUCAAGCCAUGGGAGCCGGGGGCGCCUGAAGUCCGGGACCGCGAGGACCGGCCUAGGGCGAAACUGGUAACUGGGGCUAAGUCGUAACAAGGUAAC